rnacentral:rRNA from 1 species
UACGAAGGGUGCUAGCGUUGUUCGGAAUUACUGGGCGUAAAGCGCGCGUAGGCGGCUUUUCAAGUCAGAGGUGAAAUCCCUGGGCUCAACCCAGGAACUGCCUUUGAAACUGUAAAGCUAGAGUGUCGGAGGGGAUAGCGGAAUUCCUAAUGUAGAGGUGAAAUUCGUAGAUAUUAGGAGGAACACCGGUGGCGAAGGCGGCUAUCUGGACGACAACUGACGCUGAGGCGCGAAAGCACGGGGAGCAAACAGG